rnacentral:rRNA from 1 species
UACGAAGGGGGCUAGCGUUGUUCGGAAUUACUGGGCGUAAAGCGCGCGCAGGCGGUUUCUCAAGUCAGUGGUGAAAGCCCGGAGCUCAACUCCGGAACUGCCAUUGAAACUGUUAGACUUGAGGAUGAGAGAGGUGAGUGGAAUUCCCAGUGUAGAGGUGAAAUUCGUAGAUAUUGGGAAGAACACCAGUGGCGAAGGCGGCUCACUGGCUCAUUACUGACGCUCAGGCGCGAUAGCGUGGGGAUCAAACAGG